rnacentral:lncRNA from 1 species
CGAGCCCGACUGGGCGAGGAGCGCCGGUGCCGCCGCGGCCGAGCGGGGUAAGGCAAACUGGGAGUUCCAGGGCCAUAUUGGGGACCCGACAGCACCAGGGGUGGCGGGACGCGGCGCUGUCACCCCUGGGCAAGGCCCUGUUGCUCCCCGAUCUUGGGAGGCUUUCGUGAUUCUUUGGAUUGUUGUGGGGUGCAGUAGGGCUGGGGAGCUGAGCCUUGGGAAACUUUGGGAAAGAUUACUGUUCUUCUAGACUCCUAAAGACCUGGGCGGAGCGCCUGCUCUCUUUAAUGGACGGUCAAAGCUGGGUCGAGAUGGUUUGCCCUUGGGUUGGGGAAAGCAACCAGUCCCUAUCCCCAAACAGCAGGGAUCCUAAGGUCAUUUUAACCUGCAAGUGGCCUGCAAGUGGCGGGGUACAUUUGUAGUGUUUGAUUGGAAAGAAACAAGGAGGGCCCACUUUUCUCAGAAAAAAAAACUUUUAGAAGUUUAUUUUCUUCUUAAAUACUUUAGUUGUUAGUACCACGACCCAGCUUCUUGAUCUGUACGUGUGUGGCGGUGCACACGAGUAAAGACUGUACAUGUUUGGAAGAGCGCCCUUAGCUGCCUUCUACAAUAAUCUUUUCAUUAAGAGACUUGUAGUGACAUUAAAUUCCAGUGGCGGGCAGCUGUUUGCUUUCUGUCCACUCUUUACACAGGUAACUAGAAUUCACUCUCUUGAUCAGCCGUCUUGGUACCUGAAUAAUGUGAAAAGGGCUUCAGCUCUCCAGUUUUCCUUUUAUCACGACGCCUCCAAAACGUGCCACUUAACAGCGGCUGUGUAAAACAGCCAGGAAGUGAAUUGUGCACAGGCUCUCUCUUGGAAUUCAAAACUAUGACGAUCUGUAAUCUGUGCAUCACUUCACACACUGCCCUUCUGUCGUGCCGUGAAAUAUAUUGCAAGACAAACAUGGAAAGAUUAAACUGGAGUAAGGGAGGGGCUUUUCUAAAUAUCAGUUGUGUUCAAAGUAAAGAGCUAACUUGGCACAAAGUCUCCUGGCUCAGCAGUUUGGCCUCUGUUGAGAUAAGCAUCAAACAGGGCAAUGCUUUGCCCUGUAGUGUGAAGCAGUUUACAAAACGGUCCCACGGGGACAGACAGUGCAGUUUGCUGACCAGCACGUGGCUGGAAGUGGUCGGACUUUAAAAUGGCAGGAAACAAAAGUUGACUCUUUGUCGAUAAGGAAAGAAUUUUAACCAAUUUUUUUUUCUGAACAGCACUAAAAUUUUAGGGUUUUCUGUUCAUUUUUCAUAGCUGAAUGACAUAUGAUGGGUUUGGAACUUCCUUGCAGCCAGCCUGACGUAUGUAGAAACUGGGACUACAUCCUGCAUUGCUUGAAAGCAUGUCUAACAGUACCUAGGACACACAGCCUUAAGAACUCCACCAUGUCACAGUCCCAUGAACAUUAAUAAACAUACACAUUGGUAACUUGCCAGUGUGUGUGAGGACAUUCAGAGGAUUGAAGGGCCCCCAGGAAGCCUUUCACUUGUGCAGAAAGCCUGGUCCUAGGAUCUGGAUGUGAAGAAACCCAGACAAACUCAGCUGGUGGCUGGACUCACUUGUGUCUGUCCACCCAUCCUUCUGUGGGGCUCCAGGACUAGGCAACCAGGGUCUAUAUUGCAUCUAUCCAUUUUCCCCAUGCCUGCCUCUUCCACGGCCUGCAAACAAGUCUCCAGAGGCAAGGACCACAGUCUUGUUGAGUGUUCACAGCACAUACAGCUGCACACAGGAUAUAUUUAAUGUUUCCUGGAGAGAGAAACGCACCUGCUAUGGUUCAUGGGGCCAUAACAGCACAUGGGACCAGUCUGCUUAUGGUUUCACUAUAUAUAGUGCAGAAAGGCAAGAAAAUAAUAAAAUAUCACCUACAUUUUUAUUCUUACAGGGUGCUAAAUUCUCCCUCAAUAGUAAUUAGAUUAGCAGCCCAGAGCUGGCUUUUUAAAACCUGUCACAACUUCAGAAGUGUGAAGUCGUUUUUUACACUUGUGUAUUUUAUUCUUUUUGUUUUGUUUUUUGAGACAGGGUCUUUGAGACAGUAGCCCUGGCUUACGUAGAACUCUCCAUGUAGACAAAACUGACUUCAAACUAACAGAGACCCACCUGCCUUAGCCUCUGAGUGCUGGAUUGAUGGCCUGUGCCACCAUUUCUGGCUCAUGUAACUUGUUCUUUCGUUUGAAGAAUUUUCAGUUUAUUUAGUCAUUUGCAAACUAAUGGUACUAAGUAUGAAAAUUGCUCAUUUUUUUCUUCAGGCAACUCACCCCACUAUCUCCAUACUAAAUUCUAUGCUAAUCUGUUCGUGAAAAUUUAUUUCUUGUUAAUUUAAAAGUGAGUAUUUUAGCUGGGCAUAGUGCCUUGUAAUCCCAGUGCUGGGAAAGCUGUGGCAGGAUUGCUGUGAGCCUGAGGCCACCCUAGACUACGAGAGUUCCCUGACAAGUUAAGCU